UACGUAGGUGGCAAGCGUUGUCCGGAUUUACUGGGCGUAAAGAGCGCGCAGGCGGCCAAGUCAGUCGAAUGUGAAAGCCCCCGGCUCAACUGGGGAGGGUCAUUCGAUACUGCUCGGCUCGAAGACAGGAGAGGGAAGUGGAAUUCCCGGUGUAGUGGUGAAAUGCGUAGAUAUUGGGAAGAACACCGGUGGCGAAGGCGGCUCACUGGCUCGUAACUGACGCUCAUGCACGACAGCGUGGGGAUCAAACAGG
rnacentral:rRNA from 1 species